CCGGCAUUAUCUUUAUGAAGACGCACGCGGCGAGCUAUGGGUGGUACUACGCGUUAACUAAACAUGGUAAAGCUGUGAUCCUUACUAUGUACCGAUCAUGUAGUAAACCUUUUUUUUCACAGUAUUUUUUCUACUGAACACGGUGAGGCUUAUGUUCUGUCAUUUUAUUUUUCUUUAAUUUUUGGAACGAAGCUCCUUAUGGACGAUGCGGAGGGGUACUCUGACCGGGAAAAAACGUCUGUAACAUGAUCUUUAUGAAGAGAGCGUCUUCAACGAGGAUGUAUUCUGAAAUAGCAGUAUGGCAUCAUUCCGCCUAUUUCAACUGAAAAGCAAUAAUGUGUUCGGGCUUGAAGGUUACAAUGUCAAAUACUAGAAUAUUAUCAAUUUGCGUGUGACGGAUCCCUUUUGUUUGUUUUAAGUUUAUUUUAUACAAAAGUUUAGGUCUUUUAUUUAUCGAUUGAGGUAUUACGAAGUCUGCCGGGUCAGCUAGUCAGAAAUAUAGGAAAAAGUUGUGGUCAGUAAUGUGCAAUACUUUGAAUGAUUCAUUUGUAAGCAUUUUUUUACAAUUAAUUUGCAUUUUCAUUAAAAAAAAUGGGAGAACUUAACUGCGGACUUUCUUCUAAUAAUAAAUUGUUACCAAAA